rnacentral:rRNA from 1 species
UGUCGGCUCAUCACAUCCUGGGGCUGUAGUAGGUCCCAAGGGUUGGGCUGUUCGCCCAUUAAAGUGGUACGCGAGCUGGGUUCAGAACGUCGUGAGACAGUUCGGUCCCUAUCCGUCGCAGGCGUAGGAAAUUUGAGACGACCUGUCCUUAGUACGAGAGGACCGGGAUGGACGUACCUCUGGUGUACCAGUUGUCCUGCCAAGGGCAUGGCUGGGUAGCUAUGUGCGGAAUGGAUAAGCGCUGAAAGCAUCUAAGCGCGAAGCCAACUUCAAGAUAAGAUUUCCCACCGCAAGGGUAAGACCCCAGAAAGACUAUCUGGUUGAUAGGUCGAAGGUGUAAGUGCAGCAAUGUAUUUAGCUUAUCGAUACUAAUAGGUCGAGGACUUGACCAAU